rnacentral:rRNA from 1 species
GACGAACGCUGGCGGCGCGCUUAACACAUGCAAGUCGAGCGAGAACCAGGGCUUCGGCCCUGGGGACAGCGGCGAACGGGUGAGUAACACGUGGGUAAUCUGCCCUUGACAUCGGGAUAG